GGUAACCUGCCUGUAAGACUGGGAUAACUCCGGGAAACCGGGGCUAAUACCGGAUGGUUGUUUGAACCGCAUGGUUCAAACAUAAAAGGUGGCUUCGGCUACCACUUACAGAUGGACCCGCGGCGCAUUAGCUAGUUGGUGAGGUAACGGCUCACCAAGGCAACGAUGCGUAGCCGACCUGAGAGGGUGAUCGGCCACACUGGGACUGAGACACGGCCCAGACUCCUACGGGAGGCAGCAGUAGGGAAUCUUCCGCAAUGGACGAAAGUCUGACGGAGCAACGCCGCGUGAGUGAUGAAGGUUUUCGGAUCGUAAAGCUCUGUUGUUAGGGAAGAACAAGUACCGUUCGAAUAGGGCGGUACCUUGACGGUACCUAACCAGAAAGCCACGGCUAACUACGUGCCAGCAGCCGCGGUAAUACGUAGGUGGCAAGCGUUGUCCGGAAUUAUUGGGCGUAAAGGGCUCGCAGGCGGUUUCUUAAGUCUGAUGUGAAAGCCCCCGGCUCAACCGGGGAGGGUCAUUGGAAACUGGGGAACUUGAGUGCAGAAGAGGAGAGUGGAAUUCCACGUGUAGCGGUGAAAUGCGUAGAGAUGUGGAGGAACACCAGUGGCGAAGGCGACUCUCUGGUC
rnacentral:rRNA from 1 species